GUAAGUACAUAUGAGUUUUAAUUAAGGGAAGAAUUUUGAGAUACACAGCUAAAACAAGUAAGGUAAGGAUCAAUCAGUAUACAAUAAAUCAAGGGGUCAGAGUUUUGAAAUUACUGGCUCAUGAAUAGGCUAAGGAAAGUUUUCGACUCAAAUCAAGUAACAGGGAGAUCAACAAACAAGGAAAGAAAUCAAUCACACUUAUAAAAGGAAAUCUGAAAUCAAUCAAAAUUGAAAGCCAUUUUUAGAGGGAAGUGCAACACAUAUAAGAGCACUUAAAUACUAGGCAUACGAUACUAAGUUUAGGACACAAAGAAGAAGUGUCAUGCAAUGGUAAAAGCCAGUAGAUAGUCACAUAGGUCAGCUUGUAGAGAAGAUAGUAUCAACCAACAUAAAGACCUUAGAAAUGUUUACUAUAGAAUCAAAAUUGGUUAAAGAAACAAAAGUUCAAACAAGGAUUUGAAGACUCAGUUGAGCAGUAGAUGAAACAAAUUCAGAAAGUGGAAGUAUAUCCAAAAGUGUUAGGGUUUCCGAAAUCAAACAAGUUCAAAGAGGAAGAACAAGAAAAUCACAUAACCAAGGGCCUCAAAACUCAGAUGAACCCCCACAUUUAGGGUUUUUGCCAUUAAUCAAUUGCAGAGAUGAAAGGGCAAGUUAUUAAGGGAAAAGAUAGUAAUCGAGGCAGGUUUAGAGGUCUUAGAAAGGAACUGAGACCCCGUAACAUGCUCUUUCAGUAGCAGGAACUCAUGAGAAGCAUAGUAAAAGAACAAUACAUGAAACAAAGUAUUAGAACUCAAAGAAAC
rnacentral:lncRNA from 1 species